rnacentral:rRNA from 1 species
GAUGAACGCUGGCGGCGUGCCUAAUACAUGCAAGUCGAGCGAACGGACGAGAAGCUUGCUUCUCUGAUGUUAGCGGCGGACGGGUGAGUAACACGUGGAUAACCUACCUAUAAGACUGGGAUAACUUCGGGAAACCGGAUCUAAUACCGGAUAAUAUUUUGAACCGCAUGGUUCAAAAGUGAAAGACGGUCUUGCUGUCACUUAUAGAUGGAUCCGCGCUGCAUUAGCUAGUUGGUAAGGUAACGGCUUACCAAGGCAACGAUGCAUAGCCGACCUGAGAGGGUGGUCGGCCACACUGGAACUGAGACACGGUCCAGACUCCUACGGGAGGCAGCAGUAGGGAAUCUUCCGCAAUGGGCGAAAGCCUGACGGAGCAACGCCGCGUGAGUGAUGAAGGUCUUCGGAUCGUAAAACUCUGUUAUUAGGGAAGAACAUAUGUGUAAGUAACUGUGCACAUCUUGACGGUACCUAAUCAGAAAGCCACGGCUAACUACGUG